AUUGAACGCUGGCGGCAUGCCUUACACAUGCAAGUCGAACGGCAGCACGGGUGCUUGCACCUGGUGGCGAGUGGCGAACGGGUGGGUAAUGCAUCGGAACGUGCCCAGUCGUGGGGGAUAACGCAGCGAAAGCUGCGCUAAUACCGCAUACGAUCUAUGGAUGAAAGCGGGGGACCGUAAGGCCUCGCGCGAUUGGAGCGGCCGAUGUCAGAUUAGGUAGUUGGUGGGGUAAAGGCUCACCAAGCCAACGAUCUGUAGCUGGUCUGAGAGGACGACCAGCCACACUGGGACUGAGACACGGCCCAGACUCCUACGGGAGGCAGCAGUGGGGAAUUUUGGACAAUGGGCGCAAGCCUGAUCCAGCAAUGCCGCGUGCAGGAAGAAGGCCUUCGGGUUGUAAACUGCUUUUGUACGGAACGAAAAGGCUCUGGUUAAUACCUGGGGCUCAUGACGGUACCGUAAGAAUAAGCACCGGCUAACUACGUGCCAGCCGCCGCCGUAA
rnacentral:rRNA from 1 species